rnacentral:rRNA from 1 species
UUUAUGGAGAGUUUGAUCCUGGCUCAGGAUGAACGCUGGCGGCGUGCCUAAUACAUGCAAGUCGAGCGAACGGACGAGAAGCUUGCUUCUCUGAUGUUAGCGGCGGACGGGUGAGUAACACGUGGAUAACCUACCUAUAAGACUGGGAUAACUUCGGGAAACCGGAGCUAAUACCGGAUAAUAUUUUGAACCGCAUGGUUCAAAAGUGAAAGACGGUCUUGCUGUCACUUAUAGAUGGAUCCGCGCUGCAUUAGCUAGUUGGUAAGGUAACGGCUUACCAAGGCAACGAUGCAUAGCCGACCUGAGAGGGUGAUCGGCCACACUGGAACUGAGACACGGUCCAGACUCCUACGGGAGGCAGCAGUAGGGAAUCUUCCGCAAUGGGCGAAAGCCUGACGGAGCAACGCCGCGUGAGUGAUGAAGGUCUUCGGAUCGUAAAACUCUGUUAUUAGGGAAGAACAUAUGUGUAAGUAACUGUGCACAUCUUGACGGUACCUAAUCAGAAAGCCACGGCUAACUACGUGCCAGCAGCCGCGGUAAUACGUAGGUGGCAAGCGUUAUCCGGAAUUAUUGGGCGUAAAGCGCGCGUAGGCGGUUUUUUAAGUCUGAUGUGAAAGCCCACGGCUCAACCGUGGAGGGUCAUUGGAAACUGGAAAACUUGAGUGCAGAAGAGGAAAGUGGAAUUCCAUGUGUAGCGGUGAAAUGCGCAGAGAUAUGGAGGAACACCAGUGGCGAAGGCGACUUUCUGGUCUGUAACUGACGCUGAUGUGCGAAAGCGUGGGGAUCAAACAGGAUUAGAUACCCUGGUAGUCCACGCCGUAAACGAUGAGUGCUAAGUGUUAGGGGGUUUCCGCCCCUUAGUGCUGCAGCUAACGCAUUAAGCACUCCGCCUGGGGAGUACGACCGCAAGGUUGAAACUCAAAGGAAUUGACGGGGACCCGCACAAGCGGUGGAGCAUGUGGUUUAAUUCGAAGCAACGCGAAGAACCUUACCAAAUCUUGACAUCCUUUGACAACUCUAGAGAUAGAGCCUUCCCCUUCGGGGGACAAAGUGACAGGUGGUGCAUGGUUGUCGUCAGCUCGUGUCGUGAGAUGUUGGGUUAAGUCCCGCAACGAGCGCAACCCUUGAGCUUAGUUGCCAUCAUUAAGUUGGGCACUCUAAGUUGACUGCCGGUGACAAACCGGAGGAAGGUGGGGAUGACGUCAAAUCAUCAUGCCCCUUAUGAUUUGGGCUACACACGUGCUACAAUGGACAAUACAAAGGGCAGCGAAACCGCGAGGUCAAGCAAAUCCCAUAAAGUUGUUCUCAGUUCGGAUUGUAGUCUGCAACUCGACUACAUGAAGCUGGAAUCGCUAGUAAUCGUAGAUCAGCAUGCUACGGUGAAUACGUUCCCGGGUCUUGUACACACCGCCCGUCACACCACGAGAGUUUGUAACACCCGAAGCCGGUGGAGUAACCUUUUAGGAGCUAGCCGUCGAAGGUGGGACAAAUGAUUGGGGUGAAGUCGUAACAAGGUAGCCGUAUCGGAAGGUGCGGCUGGAUCACCUCCUUU